UGGCUCAGUAGUUGAGCAUUGACCUGUGGACUCAAGGGUCCCGGGUUCGAUUCCUGG
rnacentral:tRNA from 1 species